UCCUGGCAUUAAAAAUGGCACAACUGAUCUUAUGUCACUCAACAUCGUCAGGAGUGUCAAAAGAAUCAUUCAAUACUUUGAGCAUUUCUUUUGACUGAGCUUCCUCGAAUUUGUGACUAAACUCAUCGUUCAUAGCCACUCACAUAAUAUAAGGCACCGUGGUUCAAUCGUUGAGCCACUUCAAAUAUCUCGAACCAUACUACGAGUAUUGGGAGUGGGCUCUGUUGGAAAGGGUGCAGGGUUUCAUGCAUGAAUUUUAAAAUAUUUUUAAAAUAUAACAGUAGAACAUAUAAAUUAAAUAAUUUAAUCUAUAAAUGCAUGUAAUCAAAUUACUAAACCCUACAAUUAGGACCUAUAACAUGUCAUAUUAUAUUUAUAAAUCAGAAAAAUAAAAGCUUUGGUAUUGAU
rnacentral:lncRNA from 1 species